GACCCAGCAACGCCGCGUGAAGGAUAGAAGUAUUCGGUAUGUAAACUUCGAAAGAAUAGGAAGAAUUAAUGACGGUACUAUUUAUAAGGUCCGGCUAACUACGUGCCAGCAGCCGCGGUAAUACGUAGGGACCAAGCGUUGUUCGGAUUUACUGGGCGUAAAGGGCGCGUAGGCGGCGCGGUAAGUCACUUGUGAAAUCUCUGAGCUUAACUCAGAACGGCCAAGUGAUACUGCAGUGCUAGAGUGUGGAAGGGGCAAUCGGAAUUCUUGGUGUAGCGGUGAAAUGCGUAGAUAUCAAGAGGAACACCUGAGGUGAAGACGGGUUGCUGGGCCAACACUGACGCUGAGGCGCGAAAGCCAGGGGAGCCAACGGGAUUAGAUACCCCGGUAGUCCUGGCCCUAAACGAUGAAUACUUGGUGUCUGGAGUUUUAAUGCUCCGGGUGCCGUCGCUAACGUUUUUAGUAUUCCGCCUGGGGAGUACGCUCGCAAGAGUG
rnacentral:rRNA from 1 species